GACGAACGCUGGCGGCGUGCUUAACACAUGCAAGUCGAACGGAAAGGCCCUGCUUUUGUGGGGUGCUCGAGUGGCGAACGGGUGAGUAACACGUGAGUAACCUGCCCUUGACUUUGGGAUAACUUCAGGAAACUGGGGCUAAUACCGGAUAGGAGCUCCUGCUGCAUUGUGGGGGUUGGAAAGUUUCGGCGGUUGGGGAUGGACUCGCGGCUUAUCAGCUUGUUGGUGGGGUAGUGGCUUACCAAGGCUUUGACGGGUAGCCGGCCUGAGAGGGUGACCGGCCACAUUGGGACUGAGAUACGGCCCAGACGCCUACGGGAGGCAGCAGUGGGGAAUAUUGCACAAUGGGCGGAAGCCUGAUGCAGCAACGCCGCGUGCGGGAUGACGGCCUUCGGGUUGUAAACCGCUUUCGCCUGUGACGAAGCGUGAGUGACGGUAAUGGGUAAAGAAGCACCGGCUAACUACGUG
rnacentral:rRNA from 1 species